GUUUUUUAUAUGGUUUUUUUUUUCUGCUCAGAUUGAACGCUGGCGGCAGGCCUAACACAUGCAAGUCGAGCGGAUGAAGGGAGCUUGCUCCUGGAUUCAGCGGCGGACGGGUGAGUAAUGCCUAGGAAUCUGCCUGGUAGUGGGGGAUAACGUCCGGAAACGGGCGCUAAUACCGCAUACGUCCUGAGGGAGAAAGUGGGGGAUCUUCGGACCUCACGCUAUCAGAUGAGCCUAGGUCGGAUUAGCUAGUUGGUGGGGUAAAGGCCUACCAAGGCGACGAUCCGUAACUGGUCUGAGAGGAUGAUCAGUCACACUGGAACUGAGACACGGUCCAGACUCCUACGGGAGGCAGCAGUGGGGAAUAUUGGACAAUGGGCGAAAGCCUGAUCCAGCCAUGCCGCGUGUGUGAAGAAGGUCUUCGGAUUGUAAAGCACUUUAAGUUGGGAGGAAGGGCAGUAAGUUAAUACCUUGCUGUUUUGACGUUACCAACAGAAUAAGCACCGGCUAACUUCGUGCCAGCAGCCGCGGUAAUACGAAGGGUGCAAGCGUUAAUCGGAAUUACUGGGCGUAAAGCGCGCGUAGGUGGUUCAGCAAGUUGGAUGUGAAAUCCCCGGGCUCAACCUGGGAACUGCAUCCAAAACUACUGAGCUAGAGUACGGUAGAGGGUGGUGGAAUUUCCUGUGUAGCGGUGAAAUGCGUAGAUAUAGGAAGGAACACCAGUGGCGAAGGCGACCACCUGGACUGAUACUGACACUGAGUGGAAGACGCC
rnacentral:rRNA from 1 species